UUUGAGAGCUCUAAUAAAUUUAAAACUGUCAAACUGUAUCUAUCCUUUUCAUAUUAGGUACAUUAGUAAGAAGAGCAUACGAAUACUCCAAAAUUCAGUUGCCAACCGAAUCAGUACCAUUAUCUUUUAC